AUAUUAUUAAACAACAUCUACCCCUUCCAACGAAGAAUCUUUUCGAAGGUAUUGUUCCAUCAAGCGGCAUUUUUAAAUGCUCGAACCUCUUCCACUUCGUGCGGGAUGAUUUUUUUUAGGUCUGGUAAUACUGUCUCCUUCGCUGAUGCAUUGUGGGUCCUGUGUGUGUUUGUUUACCUUUGUUGGCGCCAUGUUUAGUAUUGUAGCAGCUCUCGUCAGGGAUAUGUUUACCUCCAAAGUCUCCCGGGCAAGUCCCAUAUCACAGAGAGAGCGGGAUUUCUUAGUUUAUUUGAUUGGAGAGGAGAGAAUAUUGAAAAAUAAAAGUACUUGUGGGAAGCUUGUUGCACUAAAGAAACAAGCAUGGAUACGCAUUACAAGUUUCAAUGCUGAGGGAUAUGGACCUCGGCGAUCAGUAGAACAGCUGAAGUGGAUGUGUACCCAUCAAUCAAUUUCAUUGAUGAGUACCACAAUUACUUUGCUGAAAGCAUGCCUUCUACAAAUCCAGGGCAAGAUUUGUGCUUCACAAAUCCUGUACCAGAGCGUGCCUCCAGCAGAGGCGAUGACCCAAAUUUACAACCUAGCCCCUCAACCUCCUCCCAGAAUAAUAAAGAGAAAACAUCAUUAUUUGAUGAAAAACGGUAUAACCGACCAAACAGGAAAAAUAUAACCAUUGAAGAGGAAGAAAAUAAUAAAUUAUUUUGGAGCACACGGCAGCAAUUUUUAGAUAAACAAUUGGAAGAAACAAUGAUCAACAUUCAACUUGCAAAUAAUCAAAAGUUGCAUAAGAUUUGGAGAUUCAGCUUUUGUCAAAAUAAAGAUUCAAGUUGAACAAAAGAAGUUAGAAAUGAUGGAAAAAAAUUCUGCACAGUACAGUAUGGUUGAGAGAUAUGUUGAUGAGGAAACACUUUAGGCUACAGUAAUGAAUAUCAUAGCAAGAGACCAGCCGAAAGACCUCACACUGCAACAUAGCCAGGCUAGUUCUCUUCUUGCUGUCUCCACAACCACUUGAGCAAUCUGUCACAGUGUACCAUCCAUCGAGCAAAGCUGUAGCACACAGGCGAAUAAAUUACUUUGUGACACAAGGAAGCAGCCAGGAAGAAAAGAUGAGAAGAGGGAGGCUUUCGACAGUGUAUCCCACGAAAGGCUGAAAAUCAAACUGGAAGGGUACGGAAUUCGGGGAAAUGUCUUGUGUGGAUAGAAGUCUUUCUACAUGACCGCAA